GGAGGAUUGUCGUAAUUGGUUAUCGAAGAGGAUUGCUAAUCCUUCCAGGUUAUUUAAACCUGUACAGGUUCGAGUCCUGUAUCUUCCG
rnacentral:tRNA from 1 species